rnacentral:rRNA from 1 species
UGGGGAAUAUUGCACAAUGGGCGCAAGCCUGAUGCAGCCAUGCCGCGUGUAUGAAGAAGGCCUUCGGGUUGUAAAGUACUUUCAGCGAGGAGGAAGGCGUUGUGGUUAAUAACCGCAGCGAUUGACGUUACUCGCAGAAGAAGCACCGGCUAACUCCGUGCCAGCAGCCGCGGUAAUACGGAGGGUGCAAGCGUUAAUCGGAAUUACUGGGCGUAAAGCGCACGCAGGCGGUCUGUCAAGUCGGAUGUGAAAUCCCCGGGCUCAACCUGGGAACUGCAUCCGAAACUGGCAAGCUAGAGUCUUGUAGAGGGGGGUAGAAUUCCAGGUGUAGCGGUGAAAUGCGUAGAGAUCUGGAGGAAUACCGGUGGCGAAGGCGGCCCCCUGGACAAAGACUGACGCUCAGGUGCGAAAGCGUGGGGAGCAAACA